rnacentral:rRNA from 1 species
UACACUCCUACGGGAGGCAGCAGUGGGGAAUUUUGGACAAUGGGCGAAAGCCUGAUCCAGCCAUGCCGCGUGCAGGAUGAAGGCCUUCGGGUUGUAAACUGCUUUUGUACGAAACGAAACGGCCUUUUCUAAUAAAGAGGGCUAAUGACGGUACCGUAAGAAUAAGCACCGGCUAACUACGUGCCAGCAGCCGCGGUAAUACGUAGGGUGCAAGCGUUAAUCGGAAUUACUGGGCGUAAAGCGUGCGCAGGCGGUUAUGUAAGACAGUUGUGAAAUCCCCGGGCUCAACCUGGGAACUGCAUCUGUGACUGCAUAGCUAGAGUACGGUAGAGGGGGAUGGAAUUCCGCGUGUAGCAGUGAAAUGCGUAGAUAUGCGGAGGAACACCGAUGGCGAAGGCAAUCCCCUGGACCUGUACUGACGCUCAUGCACGAAAGCGUGGGGAGCAAACAGGAUUAGAUACCCUAGUAGUCCCA